rnacentral:lncRNA from 1 species
AGGACUGCCAUGGAAUAUAGCUAGGGGCCAGAUGAGCAGAAGAGAUUUGCAUAUGGGGAUCACUGUGAACAUCUCUUCACCAAUCAGAAGACAUCUGCUCAGUUUCUUUACUGAAACAUUCUAAGCUUUUCCGUCUCUCAGUCUCUUUUUAUGUCUCGUCCAGGCCACUGUGGUGCAGCAGAAAUGCAAAAAGGACUGGGCCUGCCCAGUGGAACAGUGGUUAUGUGCAAACGUUCCGCUUUGGCAGCCCAGGGUUCACCAGUUCGGAUCCCGGGUGCUGACAUGGCACUGCUUGGCAAGCCAUGCUGUGGAUCAACACCCCCUGUGGGUAUCAGUUCAGAGCAAGCAUCAGCUGGAGAAGACUGCUUCUCACAAGUGAAGCUCCUGGUCAAGCGAACCCACACCUGUUCUUUUGUCUCUGAGUUGUUCUAUGUAUUUCAUGAGAUUGUCAUCUAAUCCAUUUACAAUGCUGAGCUUAUCAUUACAUUUUUUAAGAAACUGGAAGGUAGUAACAUUUUAUUCAUUUAUUUCUCCAUUUAAUAACUUUUUAAUUAAAUAAAAACAAAAUAAAUAUUUUAUAUUGAUUCAUUUCUCUUGGCAUGAGUUAAUUGCGUAGUAGAAUUU